UACGUAGGGUGCAAGCGUUAAUCGGAAUUACUGGGCGUAAAGCGUGCGCAGGCGGUUAUGCAGGACAGAUGUGAAAUCCCCGGGCUCAACCUGGGAACUGCAUUUGUGACUGCAUAGCUGGAGUGCGGCAGAGGGGGAUGGAACUCCGCGUGUAGCAGUGAAAUGCGUAGAUAUGCGGAGGAACACCGAUGGCGAAGGCAAUCCCCUGGGCCUGCACUGACGCUCAUGCACGAAAGCGUGGGGAGCAAACAGG
rnacentral:rRNA from 1 species